rfam:Frankia sp. ETN1f ctg00336, whole genome shotgun sequence.
GCCUCUGUAGCUCAGUGGAUAGAGCGACCGCCUCCUAAGCGGUAGGUCGCAGGUUCGAUUCCUGCCAGGGGCA